UGCUUUAUUUUGACUUACGCAAUCAGCAUCCCCCUUUUUUAAGAAGUACAAAAUAAGACGCAAAACAGUAAAUAUUAUUUCAUCGUAAAUAACUCGAGUACUGCUGUAACGAUAAUUUAGAAUUACUUUAAAAGUUUAAAAGUAAAAACUUAAAUAUUUCCUGUAAAGAAAUAUCGUAUCUAAAUUCCGAAUUCAUUUCGUAUAUUACAAUCAAAUUGAUACAUCCGCGUUUCCGGUUUCUAUUCAGACUCGAAAGAUGCAUGUUGCA
rnacentral:lncRNA from 1 species